CGUCAGUCACUUCUAUCCCCACUUCGGAAGCUCUUCACGGCUCUAUAGGAGCCCUCUGGCUGAGUGUCCUUGGGCGAGUCAACUCUCCAAGCUUCAGUUUACCCGUCUGAAAUAUGGGAAUAAUAAUAGUGCUUUGUGAAGAGGAAAUGAUGGCAUGGAAAGCGCUUGACACAGAGCCUGACAAAUAGUGUCUAAUAACGUUAAUGGUGAUAAAGAUAGCCUUUAUUAUUAAGUCCUUCUCUACUUUUCCCAUUACCAGCACGCUAGGAAGUUCAGUAGGUGCUCAAUAAAUAUAAUUCUUGCGUGAACAAGGGAGUACGGCCCCUCCCCUCUCCCCAAAUGUGGGGAAGCUUCCCCGGCACUCGACUUGAUACCUGUCAUACAGGCCAGGAUUCAGAUCUGGCUUUCACUCUUGAUAGCUGUGUGAUUUUCUUUUGCCUCUGAACCUCAACUUCCUCACCUGUAAAAUGGGAGUUAAUGGUCUGUUGGGAGCAUCACAGAAGAUAGAAGAUGAGCAGGUGGAUUGUAAACUGCCCAGCUCAGGCAUACUGGUCUCAUCUAAAAAAAGGAGUCUAGAGUCCUUUACUUCCAUAAAUAUUGAGCACACACUGGGUGCUUGGACUUGUGCAGUAGCAUCCAUGGCCGUUUCACAUCCUUCCUGGUUCUCUCCGAUCUAUUCUUCACCCUGCUGUCAGAGUAAUGAUUCUAAGUCAGAAAUCUGGUUAUGUCCCUCUUCUAUUUAAAACUAUUUGAUGGCUCCACAUUGCUCUUAAGACAAAGGCCAAAUAAAUCUCUUACUGUUGCCCCUCCCACAUCUCCAGACUUGUUUCAGGGCCCUUUUCGCCUCUCUCGGGGCUGUAACUACAGUCAUCUUUUUCAUAUAUUAUACUUCCUCCCUUCUCAGGAUGCUUGCACAUGCUGAUCCCUCUGCCUGAAAUGCUCUCUUCCCUUAGAGAUAACUCAACAGCCUCCAGAUCCCAGCUCCAACAUGAAUACCCCAAGGACACCCUCUUCCACCUCUCCUCAGGCAGGCUCUCUUACUUGUUCUCAACAGGAGGCGUUAGGUUGUUUACUCCCUAUCUUUGCCACUAGAUUGUGGACUCCAUAAGGAAGGAGAAUUUAUCCAUCUUGUUCGCCGCUGUUUCCUCAGCACAUAGCACAGUGCCUGGCACAGAGUAGGUGCCCAAUUUGCCUAUUCUGGAUAUUUCAUAUACAUGGAAUCACACAAUACAUGACCUUUUGUGUCUAGCUUCUUUCACUUCACGUACUGUCUUCAAGGUUCAUCUGUGUUGUAGCAUGUGGGCUGGCCCAUCAGUGCAGCAGUUAAGUGCACAUGUUCUGCUUCGGUGGCCCAGGGUUUGCUGGUUCGGAUCCUGAUUGCGGAUAUGGCACCACUUGGCAAGCCACGCUGUGAUUAGCCCUGAGCUGACUGCUGCCAAUCCUCCUCUUUUUGCCAAGGAAGACUGGCCCUGAGCCAACAUCCAUGCCCAUCCUCCUCUACUUUAUACGUGGGAUGCCUACCGCUGCAUGGCUUUUGCCAAGCGGUGCCAUGUCCGCACCUGGGAUCCGAACCGGUGAACCCUGGGCUGCCAAAAAGCAGAACGUGCGAACCCAACCGCUGCACCACCAGGCCAGCCCUAAAGUUUGUUUUUUUUUUUUAAAGAAGAG
ensembl:lncRNA